rnacentral:rRNA from 1 species
GAUACUGGCGGACGGGUGAGUAACACGUGGGUAACCUGCCUGUAAGACUGGGAUAACUCCGGGAAACCGGGGCUAAUACCGGAUGCUUGAUUGAACCGCAUGGUUCAAUUAUAAAAGGUGGCUUUUAGCUACCACUUACAGAUGGACCCGCGGCGCAUUAGCUAGUUGGUGAGGUAACGGCUCACCAAGGCAACGAUGCGUAGUCGACCUGAGAGGGUGAUCGGCCACACUGGGACUGAGACACGGCCCAGACUCCUACGGGAGGCAGCAGUAGGGAAUCUUCCGCAAUGGACGAAAGUCUGACGGAGCAACGCCGCGUGAGUGAUGAAGGUUUUCGGAUCGUAAAACUCUGUUGUUAGGGAAGAACAAGUACCGUUCGAAUAGGGCGUACCUUGACGGUACCUAACCAGAAAAGCCACGGCUAACUACGUGCCAGCAGCCGCGGUAAUACG